AAUAAAGUCACAAAGUGACAAAAAAAUUGAUUUUUGAUCUUCUACCGUUUUUCGGUUAACUUGUCAUUAAUGCGAUUCAUUGGGGCUUGCAGUUUGAGUUUUAUCAGGAUAGCUUCAGACUAGUGACUUUUUGUCAUUGUUGUGGAAGGAUGCAUCCAAUGUUCAGUAUGCAAAGAGAAGGAAUCGAAGUACAAGUGUCCUGGUUGUCGUGCUCCUUUUUGCUCUUUGCCUUGCUCACGAAAGCAUAAAGAAGAAUUCUGUUCUCCAUCCACUGAUUCGCCCGGCGUGCUUGCCGCUGUGACGAAAACCCGAAAUAGCGGACUUGCGAGUGAUGGCAGUGUGACCACCGAGCAGCAGUCGCAAGAGCAUCUGAAGCAAAUCCUUCAGUGCAUACCCGAAGAAAACAGACUGAAUCAAGCGUCGUUACGGAGACUUGAGGAUUCGAAGGAAGUUAAAGAUAUAAUUGCUGAUGCGGAACUACAGAACAUGCUAACAAAAGUCCUGAAUUCCCCGAGUCGUCUGGAUGCCCAUAGUCAGAUUCGAUCGCUAUUAAUUUCCGAACCGAAAUUCACAGAAUUUUCGGCAAGCUGUCUCAAUAUCGUCGGGCACUCCAGAAGGAUAAUGGACAGUAAUUGAGCUCCGUGACCUUGUGGCUUGUGUUAUGGUGUUGUUAAAUUACUGAAAUGUUUGAACUGCUUGAAUGCGUACGAUUUUAUAAAUUUCUGUAGCGGCUUUGUUUUACCUAUUGCUUACGUUAGUUUUUAGUUGAGAGUAUUUAUUAAUCGUCCCCUGAAAAAAAUUAAGCAUACUUUUUCUACGAGUCUCGGUUUUUAAGGGAUUUUGGAUGUUUGUAUAGUUUUGAUGAUGUUUGUAAUAGUUUUAUGGGUUAAAAAUCAAGCACAA